AAGUGAUUAACAUUACGGUACAUGCAAGUUAAUAUAUAGAUACCAGACAAGUCACUUUAUAAUCUUUGAAAAAUCAUCUCGCUUCCUUGGCCUUAGAUGCAGAGAAUUGUUUACAGCAAUUUAGUUAACAUUGAACAGUGUACCGAGGCAGACAGCUUUUGACUUAAAAUCUGAUUAAAAACACCUUAUUCAGUCAGUGAUUAAUUGAGUAAUGUCUCUCACUCUAAUCUAAAUGUUUUAUAACUACAAUUCUGGUCUUCCAGGAAAAGGAGCAGUAGAUAGACUUGGCAAAAUGCAUAGCUGCAUUUAACAUUUUGUUCUGUCAUUCUGAGAAAACCAGCAAAGUGGGUUCUGACAGUUGAUGAGCAAAAGGGACUUUGCUAGGGAGCAGUUCUAUUAAAAGUGCAUCUAAGUGACUUGCCUGAAUGACAUCACUGGAAUGGCAAGUGAUGUUGUUUUAUAUUUGAGACUAUACCACCAGUUUACUGCAGCCGACCAGUCUAUGGCAGUGGCAAGUACUCUGACACUGCAAUCUUAUGAACGUCUACUCAGGAGUAAGCUCCACUCAGUUUAAUGGAAUAGGGCAUAGUCCCAGCUGAGUGAGUAAGCUGAUUUCAGAUAGAGUAAAACUCAUUCCCUUCAUUCUUGAUUUCAAAACUGCACAAAAUAAAGUGUGAAAAAGCCACAGUAAGAAUGUGGUUUACUUUGGGUGGGAAACUGAUAUAUUUCCCCAUUCAGAAGGAAGCCUGCAUUUUUCUACCUGCUAAUGGAUUAUGAACCAGUGAAAAAAACACAAAAAAGAUGCUCAGAUGUAAUUACUGUACAUUUUAUACAAGUCCUGAAAGCAUCCGUUAGAAGCAGAGAUCGUACAUUUUCAGCCCAUCAACCUAGUGGUCUGUUAGCAUCAGCUCAGAGCUUUCUGAGUUGGCAAGCAGAUGGUAUCUUUUGCAUUCCUCCAGCGUGCUAGCACUGCCAGUUGGAUGUUUGAAAGGCUCAUUAAUUUUACUCACUGUUUGGCAGUAAGACCUUGCUUGUUCUUCUCUCUGUUCCUGUUUUCUGAAACCUGGAUAGUUGUGGUUUUGUAUGUUUGUUUUCCCCCAGUUGUAGUUUAUUUGUUGCUUUGAUAUAACAUAGCAUUAUUGGUUUUGCCGGGAAGCCAGAAUGGAAAGUGGGGCUGAGCAAAGAGACAGUGGUUUGCAUUCACUAGAUUCAGAGUUAUUCAACCUGCACAGUGGGGGGAAAAAACAAGAGUUAAAUAUGGUGUGGGUGCAUUUUACCUUUCGCUACAGGUGAAUGGCUUAUUCAAUGGCUGUGGGAUAUGACACUUUUCUGAAGUGGAAAUGCUGGAAUGAAAUAUGUGGAAAUAAUGGAAAGGCAUUGUUAUUGGUUGGAUUGCCAAGCAUAUAGAACAUGUCUUGCUGCAGCAGAACCAGCAGAACUUUUGCAAGAAUAAGUCCUGUCCCGCUAACCUAUUAAGGAUUAUUUGAGUCAGCCCACUAUGUACUUGAGUAAACUUAACAGUCAUGGAAUAAAAGCAGAGGUCCUCUUAUGGAUCAGUAACUGGUUAAGGAAUAGGAAGUAGAGAGUAGUGAUAGCUGGGCAUUGUGAGGAAGCUCAAAAAGCCUCUCCAAACAGAAUGAAUGAGCAGUAAAAAUGGCAAAUACAAUUCAGUGUAAACAAGAGUAAAAUGAUGUACAUUGAGGCAAAAAAAUAAUAAUCCGAAUUUCACACAUAUGAUAUGGUACAGUCCACUCAGCCUUCUCAAGGUUCUAACAUUUUGCAGUGUGUUUAGACGAGGCAUGUACUUGGAUUUACUUAAUGUUCUUCUUGCAUAUGUGUAUAACAAAGCCCAUGCUUUAAGAUACUUGCAAAUAUUAUUUUUCGUACAUUUGCAUCCCUUACUUCCUCGGUUAUGGAGCCCAAUGAGGUGUACGCUAUGCCCAGAGGUCACCCAUCCAGACACAUGGUGGUAGUCAGCAAUUAUCACUCAGAGUAGACCCACAGAAACUAAUGGAGCUAAGUUAAUAAUGUCCAUUGACUUCGAUGGGUUUGCUCUGAAUACCACUCAUGAACUGGACUCAGGCUUCCUUAGUUUCAGCAAAGUGAUAUCCUCAUAUGCCUUCAGACCAUAUACUGGGAAACACCACUGAAGGAUUGUUGUUUGCCUACCUAUUUAACUGCUAAGAUAUGCAUUUGGAAAAAUUGCAGAAGUCUUGUUCGCCACCUCAGCAGUUCAACAGAUGAUAAAUCACACUCCUGGUGGGUUAUUUUUUAAUAGUUUAAGAUAGUUUUUAAAGGUUUUUUUUGUGCAAGGCAAGGUUGGAAUGUGCACUAAUAAAUGCGUGCAUAAAUCUUCCCCACAUUAUAGUUUUACUUUGGGAGCAGUUCUUUAAGUAAAUAUGUUAGCCUUGGACACAGCCCUAAGGCUACUAUUGAUUCAGUUGUACAGUCCAGCACUUAUAAAAAUGGAACUUCUGCCAAUGUGUUGAGUAUGAAAGGAGGGCACUGUGUGUUGAAAGAACAGCGGUUCUUUGUUUCACUGACCUAAAGUUGACUGGAUAAAACUUACUUCACAUGUUGAGGCAGAAUCGCUUUCACAGAAUCUACAAAGAAGCUGGGAAGGCAUUUAUCUUAGCUUAAUUUUCUUGAGGGCACAGAGUAGGAGUCCAGGUGAAAAUGGGGCUCAUCCUUCUCUCUUUAAAGUAGGAUCGUGAGCACAAUCACUUCUGAUCAAAGAAGUGCCUGUUGAAGAAAUUGACUAUGCUUCUUGCAUUAACACAGUUUUAUGGUGGCUGUCAGCUCCUACCUUUUGUCAGUGCAACUUCAUUCACUCCUCUAUCUCUCUUUCUCUCUUUCUUUCCCUCUUCUCUCUCUCUCUUUUAAUGUGUCUCACAAAUCAAGGUGAGAUGGCUGAACAAUUUUGUCAUGUCCUUUGCUCAGACUUAAAAGAACGCUGUCAGCUAUCAGUGAAAGGAAAUUGGGUGGUUCUGGAGUUUUUGCGGACCACUUGUGCCCUGAUUGCAUAACGAGAGCAUUGCUCAUUAUCUUGAGCAGAGUUGGUGUGACCAAUGUCCCCAAGGCUGUUUCCUCAGGCUAUUAGCUAGUGAUACCCAGAACAUUGCCACUUUCACAAAAAACAAAAUGAAAUCAGGUGUGAUAAGCUUUUAGAGGCAAGGUGCCGCUAUUUGUAAGACUAGAUAUACAGUAUACUUGGCUAAAUUUUGUGAGGCCAUCAUAGGGCACCCCUGAAUUUCCCAUUUCCGUAAUGUUUUAGAAGGAAGCUGUGUUAGUACUAUUUGAUCUUCUCAGCCACCAUCCUCAUACUGGGCUGGUGUUGCUGACAUUAUAUCAGGCUGUAGCAGAGGAAUAGUAGAAUCAUAGAAUUGUAGUGUUAGAAGGGACCACGAGGGUCAUCUAGUCCAAACCCCUUCAGUGCAGAAAUCUUUAGCCCAAGAAGAGGUGUUCUGAAACAUGGUUUGAUUCUUGUUAACUGCGCCUUUUCAGUUCUGUGUGGGUUAGCAGCUAGGCUUACGAGGAAUAAUUUUCAUCAGCUAGAAUUGGGGUCCUGAGAUGUUCAUCUAAGGUUCUGAAGGCCAAGAUGGACCUGGAUGAUGAAUGCAAAACAGGUGGGUAGACUACUUUGAUGCCGAGUCAGUGCACUUAAUUUGGUUCUGUGCUGCUGGGUUUUGUUGCUUUUUCGUGAGCUUCUGUGCCUGCUUCUUGAGGGUUCAGAACAUUUCAAUUAAAGAUGUUCAGCUAAACGUUUUGUGGUUUGCAGAGUAAUAGGAACAUUAACAGUAAUUGGAACAUUAACUUUGCGGUCCAUAUGUAUUCCUCUUCACACCACACUACUCAAUUCUUAAUAUAAUUUACUGUUAUUAAAAGCCAAGCACAUUUGGAAGAUGUCAUUCUGGAAAAUGAAAGAUUACCUUGGUAUCUGGGUUUUUGCUGUCCAUGUCAGCUGAAUAUUUCUCGUGUAGACUUCUCAGGAAACAAUGAGUCCAUCUCUUUACAACCUUCUGCUUCUCUGGCCAGUUGCUUUCCCAGCUAUCUAUAACGCAGUUGACAAAGUAUUUGGAUUUAAGUCUACAGUCAUACCUCAUGUUGCGUCUGCUUCAGGUUGCGUUUUUUCAGGUUGCGGACUGCUGAAAUCCGGAAGUACUGGAACAGGUUACUUCUGGGUUUCGGCAGUCGUGCAUGCGCAGAAGCGCUAAAUCCCACACGGAUCACAUUCGCAACCUGAGCACAGCCUGAAGACUGUAUUUGUCUUCUUCUGCAGCCACCACAUUUCCUGUGGGUGAACUGGUGCUUCAUUGUGGUACACACUUUCAAGAAGGGGCGGGAAACCUCUAUGGCACUGCAGAUGAUGUUGGAAUCCAAUUCUCAUCAGCCCUAGCCAGAACUGUCAAUUGACAUAAAUGUUGGAAGUUGUAGUCCAAUAACAGUUGGACAACAACGGCUUCCCCAUCCCUGACUUAAAUGUACAUAUUCUGUUGGCAUGCACCAGAUUCUGUGGGCAAUAGCUGCCUCCUGACUGUUUGGAGACAUCUCUCUUCUAUUUUACUUAUGAUGUUGAGAACAUACAAAACUGGAACAUGCCUUCCAACCAACACACAAUUUUCAACAUAAUUUGUCACUGGAUCUAGUUUUAGUUGAAACAUUUUCUCAGUGACUUUUAACUUUGUCUUCCUGUAUCUGGCUGCCUUUUUUCUUCUUCACACAUCUACUCCAAAUGGUAAUAUACUCAGCACCUUCCUUCCUCUUCAUUAUAGGCCUUCCACAUUUUCCAAGGUGGUAAGUACCAUUGCAUAGUAAUCUUAAAGCAGUUUCCCCAGUACAGUGGUAUCUUGGUUUACAACCAUAAUCUGUUCCGGAGGUCCGUUUGUAAACCAAAACAGGUUCUAACCCAAGGCGAGCUUUCACCAGUG